UGGUGUAGAGACACUAGAGUGGGAGUGUAGGUGGUUGUUUGGAAAUAACUUGCACUGAGUGUGACUAACACGAGAAACCACUUGGAUGUCUACUCACUCGUCAGUGGUUAUCUCGAUGCUGCGGUGGUAUAAGUGGUCCUUUGACCUAUGAUGUCAUCAGCUAUUUGCAGCGAGGCUACUGGGUUUGACUGCAUAUUCUCUUGGUUCCUAGUCAUUCGGGCUUUUGUUGUGUGUGUUGGUU
rnacentral:lncRNA from 1 species